UCGUAGAUUAUGCGCGAGGCGUCACCGGC
rnacentral:sRNA from 1 species